rnacentral:rRNA from 1 species
AGGCGACGACGGGUAGCCGGCCUGAGAGGGUGACCGGCCACACUGGGACUGAGACACGGUCCAGACUCCUACGGGAGGCAGCAGUGGGGAAUAUUGCACAAUGGGCGCAAGCCUGAUGCAGCGACGCCGCGUGAGGGAUGACGGCCUUCGGGUUGUAAACCUCUUUCAGUAGGGAAGAAGCGAAAGUGACGGUACCUGCAGAAGAAGCGCCGGCUAACUACGUGCCAGCAGCCGCGGUAAUACGUAGGGCGCAAGCGUUAUCCGGAAUUAUUGGGCGUAAAGAGCUCGUAGGCGGUUUGUCGCGUCUGCCGUGAAAGUCCGGGGCUCAACUCCGGAUCUGCGGUGGGUACGGGCAGACUAGAGUGAUGUAGGGGAGACUGGAAUUCCUGGUGUAGCGGUGAAAUGCGCAGAUWUCAGGAGGAACACCGAUGGCGAAGGCAGGUCUCUGGGCAUUAACUGACGCUGAGGAGCGAAAGCAUGGGGAGCGAACAGGAUUAGAUACCCUGGUAGUCCAUGCCGUAAACGUUGGGCACUAGGUGUGGGGGACAUUCCACGUUUUCCGCGCCGUAGCUAACGCAUUAAGUGCCCCG